GUUGGGGACAGCUGCUCUUUGAAGUGGGUAAAACGCACCCCACUGCCAGGCAUGGGGGGGACAACAUGGAUUCGUCGGCUAAAGCUGUCUUUAGAAAUAGGAUCACAGCCCACUUCGUGUGGACGCUACAUCUGUGGAUGAUUUGAGCUUUUGGACUCGCGUCUUCCAAACCUUUAUCCUGUUCAGAAUUGAAUCCUUCCUCGAUCCUUUCACGGAUUCACUAAAUGUGACUAGGGGCCGAGUUUGAGCCUGGCAUGAGGGACACAGUGUGAAAGCAGUGGCUCUCUGCCUGGCACGUCCCAUACACCCAGCAGAGCGACUGUUGAUGCAGCAUCUACCGGGUUUGAGGAAGGCAACAGCUGUAGAGCUGACUCCUAUGUGGCAAGGAACUGAGACCCUCAGUCCAUCAACCUUCAAAGAACUCACUUCUGCCAACCAACCCAGCGCUUGGAAACAGAUCCUUCCCCAGUCAAGCCUUCAGAUGAGACCCCAGUCCUGGCUGAAACCCUGAUUGCAGCCUCAGGGGGCCCUGAGCACGGGAACAUGUGCCUGGAUUCCUGGUCCACAGAAACUGGGAGAUCAUAGCUGUGUAUUGUCCUAAGUCACUAAAUUUGUGACAGUUUGUUUAUGCAACCAUAGAGAACUCAUCCAGCUCUGAAGGAGACAAAUGUAUAAAGCGCUUAGUACAGUGCCUGGCAACCCAUUUCACUUUCAAUCAACAGUAGCCAUGAUUGUUAACAUUAUCGUCUCUGGAGGGAAGGAGAUACUCCCAGGUUGCCCAAUAUUCCUCAGCCCUUGGGCUACUUCAGCCUCCUGAUGACAAAUACCCCUGAUCAUUUAGCUUUCCUGUAUUUCCUAAUUUGUCUACAAAAAAAUACGUCUGAAUUUUUAUAAAAAUAAAAACCUACCUUGACAGUA